rnacentral:rRNA from 1 species
ACGGAGAGGGCAAGCGUUGUUCGGAUUUAUUGGGCGUAAAGCGCGCGUAGAUGGCAUGGUAAGUCGGAUGUUAAAGACCCACGGCUCACCCGGGGGAAUGCGUCCGAUACUGCCGUGCUAGAGUGCGGGAGAGGAAAGUGGAAUUCCUAGUGUAGCGGUGAAAUGCGUAGAUAUCAGGAGGAACACCGGUGGCGAAGGCGAUUCGCUGGGCCUACUCUGACGCUCAGACGCGACAGCAUGGGGAGCGAACGG